rfam:Variovorax paradoxus strain TBEA6 VPARA_contig000004, whole genome shotgun sequence.
AAGCUGCCCGCAUGUUCGCUGAUUCGUCAGCACAUGCCAGCAGCCGGGGUUCCAGGCUGCCGCGGGUCUCUCCCGCGUCACCCACCAGUCCGCAUCGCAUCAAUUCCGCGGACGCGCGUCCCCAUGACGCUGAUGC